GAACGCUGGCGGCAGGCUUAACACAUGCAAGUCGAGCGGAGAUGAGGUGCUUGCACCUUAUCUUAGCGGCGGACGGGUGAGUAAUGCUUAGGAAUCUGCCUAUUAGUGGGGGACAACAUUCCGAAAGGAAUGCUAAUACCGCAUACGCCCUACGGGGGAAAGCAGGGGAUCUUCGGACCUUGCGCUAAUAGAUGAGCCUAAGUCGGAUUAGCUAGUUGGUGGGGUAAAGGCCUACCAAGGCGACGAUCUGUAGCGGGUCUGAGAGGAUGAUCCGCCACACUGGGACUGAGACACGGCCCAGACUCCUACGGGAGGCAGCAGUGGGGAAUAUUGGACAAUGGGCGGAAGCCUGAUCCAGCCAUGCCGCGUGUGUGAAGAAGGCCUUUUGGUUGUAAAGCACUUUAAGCGAGGAGGAGGCUACCUGGAUUAAUACUCUAGGAUAGUGGACGUUACUCGCAGAAUAAGCACCGGCUAACUCUGUGCCAGCAGCCGCGGUAAUACAGAGGGUGCGAGCGUUAAUCGGAUUUACUGGGCGUAAAGCGUGCGUAGGCGGCUGAUUAAGUCGGAUGUGAAAUCCCUGAGCUUAACUUAGGAAUUGCAUUCGAUACUGGUCAGCUAGAGUAUGGGAGAGGAUGGUAGAAUUCC
rnacentral:rRNA from 1 species